GACGUAGGGGGCGAGCGUUGUCCGGAUUUAUUGGGCGUAAAGCGCGCGUAGGCGGCCGCGCAAGUCGGAUGUGAAAACCCGGGGCUCAACCCCGGGCCUGCAUUCGAUACGGGCAGACUAGAGUUCGGUAGGGGAGACUGGAAUUCCUGGUGUAGCGGUGGAAUGCGCAGAUAUCAGGAGGAACACCGAUGGCGAAGGCAGGUCUCUGGGCCGCAACUGACGCUGAGGAGCGAAAGCAUGGGGAGCGAACAGG
rnacentral:rRNA from 1 species